GAUGUAAUAAUGGAGCAGCACUUAAAAAAAAAAAAAGGCAGUUCUAGCAGGUGAAUUUUUAAAAUGAUUUGAGCAAAUCUCACCAUCAUUGAAGUUAUAUCUAGAACAAAAGUUUCACUUUCCAUGGUUUCAGUUACUUGUGGUCAACUGUGGUCUGGAAACAUAUGAUUUCCCUUCUGAUGAAUCCACAGGUCAAUAGUAGCCUAACUGUGCAUCACAGCGCCUACAUCAUCACCCACCGCCCUUCAUCUCAUCACAUAGGCAUUUUAUCACCUCAUAUCAUCACAAGAAGAAAGGAUUGUGCGGAGCUGAUUGAAAGACUUCACAGCUUCCACAGAAUCUCAUAACUGACCUUGCUAUAAUGCUGCAGCUUUUAGAUCAGCAGGAGACUAGUAGCAGACAAAAGACCUGACCAUUAAUCCACAAAGUUGACUCAUUAAGUUCCUGGCCUGGUGGGACAGGCCACAAUCAACUCAGCUAAGGUACUUAUGGACAAAAGAUCACAUGUAGAAAAGCUUCAUCAAAUGCAUUUGCGAUGUCUUGAAGAAAGUAAUUAUUGACUAAAACCAAGGAAACAUAUAAAAAGCACACAAAAUUUCCAAAAAUCUAUACUAUAAUCCAUUUAAAAGCAUAUAAACUCAUCCCUAGGUUCUUCCUCUGAAAUUUAGUUAAAGAUUUGGACGUAGAAACUUUUACUUUCAUUCUUUUAUCAGGUGCAAUUGAGUUCACAACUAUUUAUUUACUCCAUCCACACUGAAAAAAAAAUCAAAACAUCAGUCUCCACACCAAGCAUUGAGAAAAAUGAAUGUACUUUUCCUGCCAUAGUUCUUUUUUUUUCUUUUUUUUUUUUUUUCUGCCAUAGUUCUUGUGGGAGUGAAUAUCCUGAAAUACUACAUCAGAGGAUGUGCUUCUGUUCAUCUAACUUUGACCUUGGAACAGUCACAGGCAUAUAAAUGUCACCAAACAGGUUCUGAAGGGUCCUAGAAUAGCUACCUGUGGUCUGAGAAUAGCUAUCUGUGGUCUGAGAAGUUCCUGCUAGAUUUAGGAAUUCAGGGUUUGGGAAGAAUCAGCUUAUAUCACUUGAACUCUAGGAUUUUGAUCCUUGUGAAUGUAUUUGCCUGGUGCGAGGUGGGGCAGAUGCUUUUCACUAGACUAAAUAUCCUACUACUUUUCCUAUUAUUUCUAUCUUCAGCUUAAAUGAAUCUAAAGACAACCUAGAAGGACAUGAAAUAUUCAAAGGAUAAAACUCAUAUUAUGGUAAAUCUGAAUGUCCAUUUUUAAAACUCAUCCUUCCAUAUUUUUAAAAUGCUCCCUAUAAAUAUAUAAUUUUUGGUUCAUUCAUUCUUCCAAGAAAAUUUCAAGGAGCACCUAACCCCUGUAUUUUGUGCCAUGGGUUCAAUAUUACAUAGAAUUGACAUGCCCACAUGCUGGGGGAUUAUACUGAAAUAGGACUACUGGAAGCAGCUUUCCAAGAAUGUACAAACCACAACUUCGAAAUACCACAGAAAAGUGGAAAUAAACACAAAGUAAUAUGGAUUAGAUUCAUAAUUUAACACAUGACUGGAAUUAUUAUAAAAAGGGGGAUCACAGAGGUCAGCCCACAGGUGGAUGAAGAAGGUUUAGCAGGAUUUAAAUAUGUUAGGUGGGAUGAACUGUUUGGCACCAGAGAAUGUUUAAUUAAGACAUAGGAUGUGUUGGGCAUUAGCAUGAGCCUGGGUAGACUAGUGGCUAAAAGCACCAUUGUUGAUGUAGGUCAGUAAGUGCCAGCUAUUAGUAGCAAUAGAAAUAGGAGGAGAAAAGAAACACAGUUUAACAAUUUUCAUAGACAUACAUUGGAGAGCAAAACAGAUCAAAGUGGAUUUAUAUUUCAUCCCAUAGUUCUAUAGUCCUGUUGUCUCCAAAAUAGAAUGGGAGAUGUUUCUCCUCGGCAUGUUCAGGAUAAGAUUACUUGAACUUCCUUACACAAAGAUAGAAAGAAAUUAAUCUUAGAGUACUUGGAUGUCUCAAUUGGUUAAGCAUCUGACUUUAGCUAAGUCAUGACCUCAGGGUCCUGGGAUCAAGCCCCACAUCAGCCUUUCACUCAGCAGGGAGUCUGCUUG